rnacentral:sRNA from 1 species
ACAAUGUCAAGUGCCAUAUAAUGAUUCAAAAUUGAUAUGUGAGAAGUUUUCCCCUGUUCCUUAGUGGAAUGUUGAAUUUGCAGAUAUAAGGGCGCAAAUAAGAGUGAUAUCUGAACCUUAGUUAUACCUAUUAGCUAGCUGAGUAUGUGAUUCAGCAACAUAGAAGGAGUCAUAUUGAGAAAUUUUGCAUCAUGAGUAUUUUGAACUGGUUUUUUUUUUUGUCGAAUAAACGAUGUAAUAAAAUUCAAAUCGAUUGUUCGGUUAAUACAUGACUUAUGUACAUCUUAAUUUUUUCGGUAUCUGUGUAAAAUUGUAACCGCAUGGCAUUUUGCAAACGGGGUGACGAGAUUAGUAUACCUCUCAUACUGUGAUGGUGGUUGGUAUUUACAAAUAAAAUCGCCUGUCGAUUGACGAUAACAUUGUGUGUAUUCUUGGGCGACGUAUUUUUUUCUUGCCAAUUCAAUAAGAGAAUAACUACCGGCAUAUGUAUUAGCAAAGAGAGGGAGAGUGGAAAAAAAUAGACAACAAAUAUUUAAACAUUCGUACUAUGACGUUUUUCUGAUAAAACUACACACAAAGAUCAAUCAG